CCUACGGGGGGCAGCAGUGGGGGAUAUUGCACAAUGGGGGGAACCCUGAUGCAGCGACGCCGCGUGGGUGAAGGAGCGUUUCGGCGCGUAAAGCCCUAUCGGCAGGGAAGAAGAUGACGGUACCUGACCAAGAAGCCCCGGCUAACUACGUGCCAGCAGCCGCGGUAAUACGUAGGGGGCAAGCGUUAUCCGGAUUUAUUGGGUUUAAAGGGUGCGUAGGCGGAUUUUUAAGUCAGCGGUAAAAUGUCCGGGUUCAACCCGGGCCGGCCGUUGAAACUGGGGAUCUUGAGUGGGCGAGAAGUAUGCGGAAUGCGUGGUGUAGCGGUGAAAUGCAUAGAUAUCACGCAGAACUCCGAUUGCGAAGGCAGCAUACCGGCGCCCGACUGACGCUGAGGCACGAAAGCGUGGGGAUCGAACAGGAUUAGAUACCCGAGUAGUC
rnacentral:rRNA from 1 species